rnacentral:snoRNA from 1 species
GCCCCCUCAGCUCUGGCAAUCACACAGGUCCAGUGUGUGCUUGGGGGGGUGUUUCGAGCAAGAGAAGAGAAUGGCCUUCCUAAUACAUAGUAGACCUGCCCCAAGGUGUCUGCCCUGAUCCUAGGAGAGCAUCAGCU